GUGGGGAAUCUUGCGCAAUGGGCGAAAGCCUGACGCAGCCAUGCCGCGUGAAUGAUGAAGGUCUUAGGAUUGUAAAAUUCUUUCACCGGGGACGAUAAUGACGGUACCCGGAGAAGAAGCCCCGGCUAACUUCGUGCCAGCAGCCGCGGUAAUACGAAGGGGGCUAGCGUUGCUCGGAAUUACUGGGCGUAAAGGGCGCGUAGGCGGACAGUUUAGUCAGAGGUGAAAGCCCAGGGCUCAACCUUGGAAUUGCCUUUGAUACUGGCUGUCUUGAGUGUGAGAGAGGUGAGUGGAACUCCGAGUGUAGAGGUGAAAUUCGUAGAUAUUCGGAAGAACACCAGUGGCGAAGGCGACUCACUGGCUCAUUACUGACGCUGAGGCUCGAAAGCGUGGGGAGCAAACAGGAUUAGAAACCCCUGUAGUCC
rnacentral:rRNA from 1 species